GCCUUUUACUCAGGAAUCUCAGAAAACCCUUCUGAAACAUUGAGCCAAGCAGAACCAGAGGUGAAUCUUACCCACCUAGUGGUGGUCCUGCCAGCUAAAUGGGAAACCAGUGUGUCGAGUGGAUGAACCAAGAGGCACAGAGCAGACAACAAACAAAUAUUUUUUGAGAACUGGCCUCACAAUGUUCCAAACAAGGAGAGAAUGUGGAGAUGAGCUCUACAUUUGUCAGGGGCCUUAUGCCUCUGAUUUGGAUCAACAGUGUAGCAAAAUGUUUGUUCUCCAAAGGAAGCGGAGGUCACCUCUGCCAUAUGGGUCAUAACAACCCGAAGCAGCCCUAUAGGCUUGGGGAAGAGUGGUUGGAAAGACACCUGGCAGAAAAGGACCUGGGGGUGUCAGCUGACAGCCAGCAGCGUGCCCAAGUGGUUGAGAAGACCGAUGGAAUACUGGCCUGCAUCAGAAAUGGUGUGGCCAGAGGAAUCAGUGAAGGGAUCAUCCCUUCGUAUGUGGCACUCAAAGUGUUGCCUAGGGAGGUGGUGGAAUCACCACGCAUGGAAAUAUUUAAGAGACAUGUGAAUGUGAUGCUAAGUGAAAUGGUUCAGUAAUGGAUUUGGCAGUGUCAGGUCAAUGGUUCAACUCGAUGACCUUAAGGUAAUCACUCCAACCUAAAUGAUUCUAUAAUUCUAUGAUUCUAUAUCUUAUGAUAGCCCCAUAAUGUGGAGAUGUCAAUUAUGGCCAAAGCAGCUGUGUUGGUAAACAGCUGUGUGUAAGCAAAUCAGAGCCCCUUAUUACCAUAGUAUGCCUUAUUUUGUCAGAUAAAGGUGGGAAGCUCUAUUUGUCAGAGAGUACCUUGCCUGUUUGGAUUGCUGGUAUAUCUACUCUAUGAUUCUACGCUAUCAGUGAAAAUAUUUCAGGUCCAACAGGCUGACUCUGCAACUCUGCAACCAAAGUCUUACUGACAACUAAAUAACAUGCUGGGGAAGUUUCUUUAACUCUACUAAUUCUAUUGCAAACUUAUCUGAGUCAUUUAGAGGAUGAUGCAUGUCUGAUUAUUUUUGCUAUUCUGGUGUGAGUCUGGAUACUACCUGUACUACGUGCUUCAGUAUUUGAGAAUUAGUCUUACAAAUUUCCAUUCUCAACAGCUUUUGAUAAUUCAGAAUUGUAAAUGAACUAGAUUUUUUGAAAAACUCUUUCUGAAUGAAACAAUACAAAAAUACAAUACCUCAGAAAUGAUGAAAUGCAUCCUUUUGAGGUUAUGACAUUUGUUUCCUGUAGGCAAUGAAAUUUUAGCACUUGCAGUCCUCUGAGUGUAGUUUCUAUCCAAUGCACGUACUGCAGAGAACAGAACUAUUUCAGGUUAUUAUAUGCUAUCUCUUUUGUGCUUAGGAAAACCUUUUGGAAAGAGUAACAGUGAGGUCCGGCAGUCAUACACUUAAUCAGUCUAUACCUUAAUAUCUUAUUUCCAAUAGAGGUUAAUGUCAAUUUGAUUUACAUUACAGCAGGAAAUCCUGCAGUAGAAAAUAAUGGAGUAUACUGUCAUAUGAAAACUCUCUUAUUAUCACGUAGCUUCUUAAAAGCAGCAUAUUCCCUGAAAUACGAAGUUUAUGCGUCGUGUUAGAUAUUCUGGUUUCUACUUGUGUUACCUGAUGUUCUUGUUACCCUCACAAACUUCCUGUUUCUGGAAGGAAUGACGUCCUUUGGAAAUGAGUUGACACACUGUGCAUUUACACAGCUGAAAAAUACCUGUUUCCUUUUGCCAGUUAUAAAUGUGUUAUCUUUAGAUUAAAUGAAUGUUUACUUGUU
ensembl:lncRNA